UUUUGCAUAAUGGAUUUGUGUUGUGCUGCUGCUGGCCCUUUAAGAACCAUCUGGGGACAUACUGUGGAGUUACUGGGUGGCCACCAUUUCCUGUAUCAGAAGCACAUGGUGAGAACAAUGGAUGGCGGCCAUUUUAACUCACAGACACUGUUUGGACUUUUCAACAUGGUGCCAUCUUGCCAGUAUUUGGUGCACAGAGACAUCGUGCAGUGGUUUUGGACUAUACAGCAGGGGACACAUUAUAAAGUGAUUGUUUUUCAUUUAGCCUGUAUAUGUUCUGCAGAAUCUGCAUUAAACUGUAUUUUCCAAAGUACUGAACGGAUCUGGGUGAAUUUUGGAUAUGUG